CUUUUUUUCUUUUUUCUUUUUUUAAUUUUAAAACAGGAUGUCGCUGUGUAGUUCAGGCUGGCUUUGAACUCAUUAUGAAACCCAGGCUGGCCUUGAUCUUGCAGCAGUCUUCCUGCCUCAGCCUCCUGAGUGCUGUGAUUACAAGGAUGUGCCACCACGCCCAGCUUGGUCCAAUUGUUCUGGUUACAACCAGGAGGUGACUCUGUUCUCCAGCUGCCCGUUUCCUGGAGGAUUUUAUGCCACCCUCGGCUUUUCCACAGGAGCAGGCUUUGCACAGGGCUUGUGUUCCAGCAAACAUUCGUAAUCACCUGGGGCUUCGGGGCCAGAGAUGCACAGGAUGAAUUCUCUUUCUCAGGAUCUUCCUAAAUCCAGAGCGGGAGCAUCUCCAAAGGGAUGAUUUCAGUGGAAGUCGCACACAGUCUGCGCACUUUGAGCACAAAGCCAUAGCCAAGUGCACAGGCUGCUAAAAUGACUCCCAAAGAAAUGCGACACCAAGAACAACCCAAAUCCACCAGACAAAGACUUCAGACAGAAAAAGCUGAGCAGCAAGCGGAAGAAGCAGAAGCGAUGCCUUGUUUGACAUUUUUGGAGUGAGUUUCUACUCUUUCACCCUGUUCCUCAUGGGCUCGGAGGGACAGGUCGGAUAUCGUGUUCCUUGCAGAGCUCAAGCCACAGGUCCACGCAGGCAGCAGUGGGAGGGUCAGCGAGGCUUCCGACUCAGCUUACUCGAGAUGGAAAAUUCUCCUGCUACUGUGGCCUGGAUACUUGUGCAAGGCCUCCCGGGGAGGCUAGGAUUUAAGUAAGGCUCAAGGGGGCUCAUAGGUGGAGAAACAGAUCGACACGAUGCGUGCGUCCGUCUGUCCAUCCUGUGGACUAGGAUUCAGCCUCAAAAAAGGAAAGGAAGUCAGGUACAUCCUACAGCGUGGAUGCACCUUGAGGACAUGACGCUUGGUGAAAGAAACCAGACAUAAAAGGACACACACUGCAGGAUUCCACUCCCAGGGGGUCCCUAGAACCGGCAGGGCCCCAGAGACAGGAAGUAGAUGGUGGGUGCCAGGGCUGGGGAGUUCGUGUUUCACGGGGCAGAGGCGCAGCUUGGGGAGAUAAUAAAGUCCUGCAGAUGCGUGGUGGGGGGCAGCCGCCCCAAGUAGGAAUGGACUGAAUGCCACUGACCCUUGCAAUUACUGAAUGCCCUUACCAUGGCUAAAAUGGCUUUCAUUUAUGCCGAUUCCACUGUAAUCUAAAAAGAAAGACGGAGCAAUCACAGUGACCAGGCCUGGUACUACAGGAGCUGCCUGGGCCCCUGUCCUACGACCCUCAUCUGGUGGUUCCUGCCCAUUAUCUUGAUUUGGGAAAGGAGGAAUGAGAAGGAUCAGCACGUGGCUUAAGGUCAUACAUCAAGGACACGGUGGGUGGAGCUAAUUUAUAGCCAGGAAUCAGGCUCCACCAUCUUUAUCAUUUAAUGUCUGUGCUAUCUAGGGUUUAAACUGAGGGUUCCUCAUUCUUGGCUUCUUCUGACACCUCCUGUCUUCCAGGAACUUCCUGCCACUUCUUUAUGUGUCUCUGGCACCUAGUUUUCCCGUGACCAUCAGGACAGCACACAGGAGUCGAGAUGAUCCCAGGAUAACUGCCCCUGGCCACACUGCAGAGUCAGGAGUCCAGCUGGGACAGAGAAGACUAGAACACAAGUAAAACCAAAAACUCAGACUCUGCACUUGGGCAGACCCAAGUUCAAUGCCAAAAUCUACCCUGAGGAUGGAACCCAGGGCCUGCCUGAAGCAUGCUGGGAAAGUGCUCACCCCUAAACCAUACCCUAGCCUUGCACAGUCAUUAUUAGUAUGGUUUCGGGGGGCUGAGAGUGGUAGAGCCCCUGCCAAGCUGGCAAGCAGUCCUGGGUUCCAUCCCCAUCACUGAGAAGUGAGGGGUGAACAGACAAAGAAAAUGUCAUGUAUUUAUACACAGUGGAGUACUACUCUGCCGUGGAUAAAUGACUCAUUUGUGGGAAAAUGGAUAUACGCUGAGGUCGUAAUGUGAAGGAACACAGACACACAAGCUUACGUGUUGCAUGAUUUCUCUUACAUGAGAAGCUCAAAAUAUAAAUAAAGAGCAAAAUAAAAGGUAGAUGAUCAGAAACAGGAAGACAGAUCUUUUGCAAAAGGGAAGGGGAGAAGAAACGGAGGGGGGCAGGGGAUAGGGAUGCCAAAAGAAUGAAGAUACAUCCUGUCCACACACCCACUCCCCACGGGGAAUGCAGUCAGUAUGUACUGCAGGCAUGGGCUCAUGAAAAAUGAAAAUGAACAAAAAAUGACGGCUCCUAAAUGGGAAAUAGACCCUUGAACGUCCUACAACCCAGACUGCUUGGCUAGGAAUUCUACAAGCCCUGAGACAUGCCUUUCAAGUCAGGUGGCUUGACAGCCCCCUCAUCAGAAGGGCGGAAGUUCAGUUUUGGACACAAAGCAGGUACAGGGGAAACAUUUUCCCCAGGAGAGAGGCAUUGACCUCCUUGCUCCCCCGGGGGAUAACUUGUUUCUUUCUGAUGCUUUUUUGUUGACUUGCAGCUGGGCCCAACAAGCCUGGCUCAUAUUUCCCCCCUGUGCCCUCCCUCCCUAAACAUUUGCUGAACGAAUAAACCAAAGGAUAGGAGGCAUCCAAACCCUCAAGACUCCACCGACCGACGACCAACCGCCUGACCGGAGGAGCCAGUUGUUAGGCCUGCAGUUAAAAGUUAAAAGCCUUCCCAAGGUCACAGAGAGGGGUGAGGUCUCUCUAACGGACCGAGGACUUGGCUCUUCUCCACCCUAUUUAUCCAGAGGAGGUCACCCCGAGGGCUGCCUGCCCAUGGGCAAGAUUUCAGUAUGAGCUUUGGGGACCUUAAACCUACAGUAGCUGCAACCCAUAAAGGGAGACCCGGAACUUCAUUAGAUUUGCAAACAUGGAUGACUUAACCCACUCAAUGACGUACUAGGGGGUCACACCUAGAGCACCCUAUGACUGAGCUAACCACCCUCCCCCCCAGCCCUUUUUAUUUUUUAGUUUCACAAAGUUGCCCAAACUGGACUAAAAUUUGCGAUGGAUCCUCCUGCCUCAGCCUCCCUCAGUGGUGGGAUUACAGGCAUGUGACACCACAUUCGCCUGUGUUUUGUUUUGUUUUUUUGUUUUGUGAGCCAGGGUCUUGCUGUGUUGCCCAGGUCAAUCUUAAACUCCUAGUUCCAAGUGAUCCUCCUGCCUCAGCUUCCUGAGUAGCUAUGCCGGACUAGCUGUCUUUUUAAGGAAAAGAAAAUAGCGAUGGUAAAGUUGCAGAGCAAGGAAACAGUGGAACCAGGAUUCAAACCUGAGAACUUGUGCUCCGGUGGGCAUCUAGGCUUAUUCACAUGAACACUAGCCAGCUCAGGCAUUCCCAGGCCUUGUCCAGAUUGUCACAUGCUUCCAGUGAGGACACCAGGAGAGGUCACAGUGCCUCGUUUUUAUGGCCUUGUGUCACCAUCUAUAUCUGGUGGAAAGAAUCACUAUCGAAACACCACAGUGACCUCCCAGACUCUGGCUCCAGGCAGAGCGGGCGUCUGUCCCCAUGGUCAGUGGUGUCCCUUCCAGGCUGCACUGAGCACAGAGCUUUGCUCAGAGAAGCAGCACAUCCGCUAGAAACUCCGGGCUCUGCUGUUCCUGCUUUGGCUUCCCCAGACACGAGGGGAGAGAGGACAACACACAGGCUGCAGCUCCAGCCCUCCUCUUUUUUUUAUUUCGACACAGGAUCUCACUGAGCUGCCUAAGAUGGGUUCAAAUUCUUGAUCCUCCAGCCUCAGCCUCAAAGAGCUGCUAGGAUUGCAGGCCUGGGCCACCAC